UACGAAGGGGGCUAGCGUUGCUCGGAAUUACUGGGCGUAAAGCGCACGUAGGCGGAUUCUUAAGUCAGGGGUGAAAUCCCGGAGCUCAACUCCGGAACUGCCUUUGAUACUGAGAGUCUCGAGUCCGGGAGAGGUGAGUGGAACUCCGAGUGUAGAGGUGAAAUUCGUAGAUAUUCGGAAGAACACCAGUGGCGAAGGCGGCUCACUGGCCCGGUACUGACGCUGAGGUGCGAAAGCCAGGGGAGCAAACGGG
rnacentral:rRNA from 1 species